rnacentral:tRNA from 1 species
GCCGACCUAGCUCAAUGGCAGAGCAGUGGUUUUGUAAACCACCGGUUCCCGGUUCGAGCCCGGGGGUCGGCU